rnacentral:rRNA from 1 species
AGCAGCCGCGGUAAUUCCAGCUCCAAUAGCGUAUAUUAAAGUUGUUGCAGUUAAAAGCUCGUAGUUGAAUUUCGGGAUCAAUUUAUUGGUCGUGCGAUAGUACGUACUGGUAUUAUUGGUUCCUACCUUCUGAUGAACCAUGAUGUCAUUAAUUUGGUGUUAUGGGGAAUCAGGACUGUUACUUUGAAAAAUUAGAGUGUUUAAAGCAGGCUCACGCUUGAAUACAUUAGCAUGGAAUAAUGAAAUAGGACGUUUGAUUCUAUUUUGUUGGUUUCUAGGAUCGACGUAAUGAUUAAUAGGGAUAGUUGGGGGCAUUAGUAUUCAAUUGUCAGAGGUGAAAUUCUUGGAUUUAUUGAAGACUAACUACUGCGAAAGCAUUUGCCAAGGAUGUUUUCAUUAAUCAAGAACGAAAGUUAGGGAUCGAAGACGAUCAGAUACCGUCGUAGUCUU